rnacentral:tRNA from 1 species
ACGGGUGUAGUGAAAUGGUAUCACGAAGGUCUCCAAAACCUUCUUUCCAGGUCCGAAUCCUGGCACCCGUG